rnacentral:rRNA from 1 species
UGGUCUUGACAUCCACAGAACUUUCCAGAGAUGGAUUGGUGCCUUCGGGAACUGUGAGACAGGUGCUGCAUGGCUGUCGUCAGCUCGUGUUGUGAAAUGUUGGGUUAAGUCCCGCAACGAGCGCAACCCUUAUCCUUUGUUGCCAGCGGUCCGGCCGGGAACUCAAAGGAGACUGCCAGUGAUAAACUGGAGGAAGGUGGGGAUGACGUCAAGUCAUCAUGGCCCUUACGACCAGGGCUACACACGUGCUACAAUGGCGCAUACAAAGAGAAGCGACCUCGCGAGAGCAAGCGGACCUCAUAAAGUGCGUCGUAGUCCGGAUUGGAGUCUGCAACUCGACUCCAUGAAGUCGGAAUCGCUAGUAAUCGUGGAUCAGAAUGCCACGGUGAAUACGUUCCCGGGCCUUGUACACACCGCCCGUCACACCAUGGGAGUGGGUUGCAAAAGAAGUAGGUAGCUUAACCUUCGGGAGGGCGCUUACCACUUUGUGAUUCAUGACUGGGGUGAAGUCGUAACAAGGUAACCGUAGGGGAACCUGCGGUUGGAUCACCUC